AAAGAGAGAUGUGGUGAAAGUGUUCUGCAGAGAGAGAUGUCUCUUCGAAGGCUGCACACCAUUCUUCUUCUGCCAGCUGAUUGGAGACGCUCAGCAGCCUGUUGCCUUAUCGCCACCUACCGCAUCUACAGUCUGGAAACUGCUGGACUAAUGAGAUAAUGCAGAGUUGCUGAGUAUGCAGGUCGUGAUCCACAGAAGCAGGUGUCUGAGGACAUCUAGUGGACAGGUGUGGUAUCACAGUGUCCCUGUCUCAUAGUAUAUAAUAGUAUACAGUAGAUAAUACACAGUAGGUAGUUUAUAUUGUUAUAGUCAUUUUGUAGCUGGCAUACAAGAAAUAAAUACUUCUUUAGAACUAACAGGAUAUUAUGCAAUCUAUAUAUUUUUUCAACAUACCGCAAUCAAACUGCUACUUUAGAAUGCCAGGCUUCCAACUAUACACACAUAAUAAGUCAAAUGUUUUUCAAAAUAUGAUCCUAAUAGACUAUUUUUGUUGUUUCUCCAAAAUCUUUUGCCAUCAUACUGGAAUUUU